rnacentral:rRNA from 1 species
UACAACUUUCAACAACGGAUCUCUUGGCUCUCGCAUCGAUGAAGAACGCAGCGAAAUGCGAUAAGUAAUGUGAAUUGCAGAAUUCAGUGAAUCAUCGAAUCUUUGAACGCACCUUGCGCUCCUUGGUAUUCCGAGGAGCAUGCCUGUUUGAGUGUCAUGAAAUUCUCAACCUCUCUAGUUUUUUGAACUGGUUAGGCUUGGAUUUUGGAAGUUGCUGGCUCACUAUGAAUCAGCUCUUCUUAAAUAUAUUAGCGAAGAUCUUUGCUGCUCAUCAUUGGUAUGAUAAUUAUCUAUAUCAUUGAUAACCAGUGUCCCUCACGGGAGAGGUCUUGCUUCUAAUAGUCCUUUUAAAGACAAUCUGAUAACUUUUGACCUCAAAUCAGGUAGGACUACCCGCUGAACUUAAGCAUAUCAAUAAGCGGAGGAAAAGAAACUAACAAGGAUUCCCCUAGUAACUGCGAGUGAAGCGGGAAAAGCUCAAAUUUAAAAUCUGGUAGUCUUUGGCUGCCCGAGUUGUAAUCUAGACAAGCGUCUUCCGCGC